GCCAUCUUAGCUCAGUUGGUAGAGCAGCGCAUUCGUAAUGCGCGGGCCGGGGGUUCGAGUCCCCCAGAUGGCU
rnacentral:tRNA from 1 species